UACGUAGGGUGCAAGCGUUAAUCGGAAUUACUGGGCGUAAAGCGUGCGCAGGCGGUUAUGUAAGACAGAUGUGAAAUGCCCGGGCUUAACCUGGGAACUGCAUUUGUGACUGCAUGGCUAGAGUUUGGCAGAGGGGGGUAGAAUUCCACGUGUAGCAGUGAAAUGCGUAGAGAUGUGGAGGAAUACCGAUGGCGAAGGCAGCCCCCUGGGAUAACACUGACGCUCAUGCACGAAAGCGUGGGGAGCAAACAGG
rnacentral:rRNA from 1 species